rnacentral:rRNA from 1 species
UACGUAGGGCGCAAGCGUUGUCCGGAAUUAUUGGGCGUAAAGAGCUCGUAGGCGGUUUGUCGCGUCUGGUGUGAAAACUCAAGGCUCAACCUUGAGCUUGCAUCGGGUACGGGCAGACUAGAGUGUGGUAGGGGUGACUGGAAUUCCUGGUGUAGCGGUGGAAUGCGCAGAUAUCAGGAAGAACACCCGUGGCUAAGGCGGCUCUCUAGUACGGUACUGACGCUGAGACGCGAAAGCGUGGGGAGCGAACAGG